rnacentral:tRNA from 2 species
AGGGGCGUAGCUCAGCUGGUAGAGCAGCGGUCUCCAAAACCGCAGGUCGCGGGUUCGAGUCCUGCCGCCCCUGCCA